CCUACGGGUGGCAGCAGUGAGGAAUAUUGGUCAAUGGACGAGAGUCUGAACCAGCCAAGUAGCGUGAAGGAUGACGGCCCUAUGGGUUGUAAACCUCUUUUAUCAAGGAAUAAAACGAGGCACGUGUGCCUUUUUGCAUGUACUUGAUGAAUAAGGAUCGGCUAACUCCGUGCCAGCAGCCGCGGUAAUACGGAGGAUCCGAGCGUUAUCCGGAUUUAUUGGGUUUAAAGGGAGCGGAGAUGGGUUGUUAAGUCAGUUGUGAAAUGUUGCGGCUCAACCGUAAAAUUGCCGUUGAUACUGGCAGUCUUGAGUGGAGUUGAGGUAAGCGGAAUGCGUGGUGUAGCGGUGAAAUGCUUAGAUAUCACGCAGAACCCCGAUUGCGAAGGCAGCUUACUAA
rnacentral:rRNA from 1 species